UUUGUCGAUUAGCUCAGGUCGGUGCCAUUUGGUCGCUCCCUAAUCAACACAAAUUGGAGCUCAUGGCUGCAAGCGUGUCACGGAUUAUCCCUGAAGGUAAGAAACACACAUGUCAUUGCAAUGACAUUGCUAACAGUUUCCUUUCCGAGGUUUCAAAACAACGCAUCCUUAGGGUUUACAAUGUAAGGCAAAUGCUUUCAAGCCACCCUGGACGAUACUGUAAUAAU
rnacentral:lncRNA from 1 species